UUUCUUUGCUGGCGACCGGCGCACGGGUGAGUAACACGUAUCCAACCUGCCCUUUACUCGGGGAUAGCCUUUCGAAGGAAAGAUUAAUACCCGAUAGCAUAAUGAUUCCGCAUGGUUUCAUUAUUAAAGGAUUCCGGUAAAGGAUGGGGAUGCGUUCCAUUAGGUUGUUGGUGAGGUAACGGCUCACCAAGCCUUCGAUGGAUAGGGGUUCUGAGAGGAAGGUCCCCCACAUUGGAACUGAGACACGGUCCAA
rnacentral:rRNA from 1 species